rnacentral:lncRNA from 1 species
UUCCCAUCAUAUCUUCCGUGAGCAGCUAGCAGGCACAGUGGAUAGAGCCAUAGGCUGAGGGUCAGAAAGACCUCAGUGCAAAUUCAGUUUCAAAUACUUCCUUUAUGACUCUGGGGAAGCCACUUCACCUCAGUUUGCCUCAGUUUCCUCAUCUAUGAAAUGAGGAUAAUAAUAGUACCUAUCUCCCAGGGGAGUUGUGAGAAUCAAUUUAGAUAAUUGCUAGUAGGCAAUAUAUAAACGUUAGUUAUUGUUUUUAUUAUUAUUAUGCUUCUUGGCAGAGUGCUUGAUACAUAGUAGGUGCUAUAUAAAUGUUAGCUAUUAUCAGUAUUAUUAUUAAAGUUGGAGAAAGAAAUGGCAAACUACUCCAGUGUCUCUGCCAAGAAAAGCCCAAAUGAGUGAAGAAGAGUCAGAUAUGACUGAAAACUACUGAACAACAUUGAAAAUCACAGUGCCUGGCACAUAGUAGGCGCUAUACUAAUGACGUUGUUGUUUGGUCAUUUUCAGUCAUGCCUGACUCUUCCUCUCUCAUUUGGGAUUUUCUUGGCAGAGCCAUUGGAGCCGUUGGCUAUUUCCUUCUCCAGCUCAUUAUACAGAUGAGGAAACUGAGGGAAACAAAGUGAAGAGAUUUGCUGAGGGUCACACAGCUGGUCAGUGUCUGAAUCCAGAUUUGAACUCAGGAAGAUGAGUCUUCCUGAUUCCAAGCUCAAUGCCCUAUCCACUGCACUCCCUGGUUGUUAGCUAUUAUUAUUAUUAAAUUUCUUAGCACAGUGCCUGGUACCUAGCAGAUGCAAUAUAAAUAUUGGCAAUUAUUAUUAUUAGCCCAGUACCUCUCACUUAAUAAGCAAUAUAUAAAUGCUUGCUAUUGUUAUUAUUGUUGAAGUUCUUAGUACAGAGCCUUGCACACAGUAGGUGCUAUAAAAUGUUAGCAGUUAUUAUUAGCAUAGCACCUCUCACUUAAUAAGCAAUAAUAAAUGUUAGCCAUUGUUAUUAUUAUUAUUAUUAAAGUUCUUAGCACAGCGCCUGGCACAUAGUAGGUGCUACGUAAAAUGUAAGCAAUUCUUGCUACUAGCACAGUGCCUCACUAAGCGAUCCCUAAGGUUAGCUCCUACUGUUAUUCAUGAUUAUUUUUGCCACCUCAGAAGGAAGGAAUGGACCGAGCAGAUGAAGUCGCUGCUCCCCUGGAACUCUAGUUCCAAUAGGGCAACUCCGGGGACUUUCGCUUCUGAAAACAAGAGCAGCCACUACCAGCCCUCCAGUCCCCC